rnacentral:rRNA from 1 species
GACGAACGCUGGCGGCGUGCUUAACACAUGCAAGUCGAACGGGGUCCAACCAGUGGCAACACUGGGGAAGAUCUAGUGGCGAACGGGUGAGUAACACGUGAGGAACCUGCCCCGAUCUCUGGGAUAACAGCGGGAAACCGCUGCUAAUACCGGAUGCCCUCCUCUGAUCGCAUGGUCGGAAGAGGAAAGGAUUCUGGAUCGGGAGGGUCUCGCGGCCUAUCAGCUUGUUGGCGAGGUAACGGCCCACCAAGGCUCCGACGGGUAGCUGGUCUGAGAGGACGACCAGCCACACUGGGACUGAGACACGGCCCAGACUCCUACGGGAGGCAGCAGUGGGGAAUCUUGCGCAAUGGGCGAAAGCCUGACGCAGCAACGCCGCGUGGGGGAUGAAGGCCCUCGGGUUGUAAACCCCUUUCAGCAGGAACGAAACUGACGGUACCUGCAGAAGAAGGUCCGGCCAACUACGUGCCAGCCGCCGCGGUAACAC